AGUCUAUUAGGUCAAUUGGCAGAGCUUUUUGCAAUUGCAUAAUGAUGUAGGUUCGAAUCCUACAUAGGCUA
rnacentral:tRNA from 1 species